rnacentral:rRNA from 1 species
GACGAACGCUGGCGGCGUGCUUAACACAUGCAAGUCGAACGGUAAGGCCCCAGCUUGCUGGGGUACACGAGUGGCGAACGGGUGAGUAACACGUGGGUGACCUGCCCCGCACUUCGGGAUAAGCCUGGGAAACUGGGUCUAAUACCGGAUAGGACCGCACCGUGAGGGUGUGGUGGAAAGUUUUUCGGUGUGGGAUGGGCCCGCGGCCUCUCAGCUUGUUGGUGGGGUAAUGGCCUACCAAGGCGGCGACGGGUAGCCGGCCUGAGAGGGUGGACGGCCACAUUGGGACUGAGACACGGCCCAGACUCCUACGGGAGGCAGCAGUGGGGAAUAUUGCACAAUGGGCGGAAGCCUGAUGCAGCGACGCCGCGUGGGGGAUGACGGCCUUCGGGUUGUAAACUCCUUUCACCAUCGACGAAGGUUUUCUGACGGUAGAUGGAGAAGAAGCACCGGCUAACUACGUG